rnacentral:lncRNA from 1 species
ACAUGGGUGAAAUGAUCCUCGAUCUAAAGUUAUUCCAAAAGUUAUAGUCAGACAAGAAUACAAAUAAUUUAUGAAAUAACUAUUUCCAAAGGUAUAGCUAUUUUUGGUUCACCUCUUCUUAUUUCUUGGCCAAACAUAGCCUUAGGAAACAAUACCUCGUAUUUAAUAAGUAUGCUUCUUUUGGUUUAGAUGUUGCUUUCUGUAAAGCAGAGAAGCAUGGAAAUUGCAGCAGCUAAAGUGAGAAUUUGUCUAACAAUUUAUAGAAUGAGGAAAAUGUUUAAUUAGAGAGUAGAUGAUAGCUAGCCAUGGUUCAUCUAGCUGCAUCUUUUGUUUAAUUAUGGAAAAGCUUGUUAGGGAUCGGUAAAUAUUUAAACAUCUACUUGGGACUUGUAAUUACUACUUUUUUAGCACAUCCUAGGGCCUGCAAUAGGGUUGUCAAUUUAUCCGAGCAACUUUAGCCUGUAGAUCUCAGCCUAAAAUAGGUUCACUUAUGAUGUGAUUAACCCAAGAUUGCACGUGGGUCAUAGGCUCAAAAUCUAUUGGGUCAAGCUUGUAAAGAUCCUUGCUUGAUAAGGCUUGAAAUGGCAAAAUAUAUUAUAAUAAAAUAUAAUAAUAACCAUCCAUGGAGGAACCUGCAAAUAAUUUCUUCUCCAAAUAUUCCAAAGUUGGCAUUUCAUGCUGAUUUCUGCGGACUUUGCAAACUAGAAAUUGAUAAAUAAUAAGAAAUCCAUUUAGGACCUACAAAUAAUUUAUUUUAACGUGUUUCAAGUUAGGAAGAACAACCAAGUACCAAUGUACACCUGAAACUUGUAAAUCAAGGACCGAGUAAAUAAUAUUUCAUCCACUAACCUGUCUCUACAUGGAGCUUGUAAGACAGCAACUGGUAAAUAAUAAAAAAUCCAACUAGGAAUCUAUUAAUAGUUAUUUGUCAACCGAUUUGCAAAGUUGGCUAGCUUUGCUGACUCAUUAGAACUUAUAGACUAGGGUCUGAUAAAUAAUAAACUAUCUGCAUUGGCUCUAUAAUAUCUUUUAAUAUAAGGUAUAGAGCUACAAAUUGUUUGACAUUUUUUACCAUAUACAAUUUGUAACUCAGAAACUUCUAAGAAAUUAAAGGCUCAGCAAAGGAUCUCUGUAUAAUUUUGCCUUAAUCCGUUCUCUCUCUCUCCAGUCUCAUCUUCUCCGCCUCUUCUUGGCCUUCUCUUCCUUGAAUUCAUGGCAACCAUCCCCCUAACUGAUGGCAAAUAAAAAUUAGUUGAUGGUAAAUUUUAUUGUACUUUUGGACUUGGAGUUUGAUUUUUAGAGUGUUAGAGUCUUCCUUUAGCUGGGAUUAGUGCGAAAGUCUUACUUGAGGUAUCAGUUGGUCAGUAAGUCCAAUUCAUAAUGCUAUUAGCAUUCAUUUAUUAGCUGUUGUAGAUAUCUUUUUACAUAGAGUUAUGUGGGAUUCUAGUUUGCUUUUUUAGGAAAGUAUUUAGAGAUUGACUACAUGGUUGUUAGUAGUCCUAGUUUAAGUCAAUCAGGUAAAAUUUACAAUCGGGUCUUAUAGCUGGCCAUUGGAGGCAUUGCACAUGAUUUGUUUUGACUGAAAGAAAGGAUUUCCUGGGGCCAGGUUUAGUCAUUCACCCUCCCCCCCUCUCUCCAGCGCAUGCUUGCUUGCUCUCCCUCCAUACUUAAUCUCUCUUUUAUUAUCUUCGAUCUCUUUCUACACUCGUCCAAGCCUGACUUCACUAUUGUUUUGUUAGGACUUAGGACUACUAUGGACCACCAGCAAUUAACAAGUUUGCUUUAUAAAUUUUUUCCUUGGGUCUAUAUCAUUUUAAGACCUAAAGUAGAAAUAUUUUGGCUGCCUUGAAUUUACAAUUACCAACAUUGUUCCUUCCCUGUUUCUGUGCCAGGACAAUAGGGAGAUUUCUUAACCCCAUCCUAGUUUGAUCUCUUCCUUAGAUCCAUAGACAUAUUGCAGGUCAUCCUCAGUUGGUCCUAUGUCACCAAUUCAGAUCUUUAUCCAAACCUGAUGCUGUCUCUAGCUGUUCCUUCCCUCCCACAAAGCCUAAUCCUAGAUCUUGGCACCCCAAUCUCAAUUGUCCACCACUGGCUAUGUUGGUCCUCCAAAUCUCCAAGCUUCUGAUAUUCUGAAAUUUUCUACCCUCUGAGGAGGUGUUGCUAUUCAAUUCUGUAGCCAUCAUGUUCUUUUGAUUUUCUAGUCCUUCCCUUCGAUUCGGAUGAGAUUCUUGACAUUGCUUUAGUUUCUCUUCAUAUGCAUUUUAGGAGAAACGGUUGCUUUGUUUUCAGUUAAUCUCUUUCUAUUCUGGAUACAUGUUGAUUUUAACUGAUGUCCAGAAGUCAUUGUUGCAUGGACAUGGACACGGGAAUCAGAAUUGAACUUGUGUCACUUGAUAAGAGGAAAAAUGGAGAUACAGGGAUACAUAGAAUAGAAUUAUAGUUUUAAUUAAAUAGUAUAUAUUUAUAUUUUUUUCAAUUAGAAGACCGUGUCCCUUUAUAUUUAUAUUUCUUAUCCCACUCACUUCUAACGUUAAAUGGAGGACUUAUCCUGCUCACUUCUAACAUUAAAAUGGAGGAUCUAACUCAUUGUUGGUAGAGUCAAGCUCUUGACAAAUCUCUAAAAGCUCCAAAUAGAGAGGUUUAUUGGUAUCCAUGUGUCUGACAAGCAUCCGAUUCAAAUAUGCAUCCAGCACAGCUUACUCCAU